rnacentral:rRNA from 1 species
UGGGGAAUAUUGGACAAUGGGGGAAACCCUGAUCCAGCAAUGCCGCGUGAGUGAAGAAGGCCUUAGGGUUGUAAAGCUCUUUCGCCCGCGAAGAUAAUGACGGUAGCGGGAGAAGAAGCCCCGGCUAACUCCGUGCCAGCAGCCGCGGUAAUACGGAGGGGGCUAGCGUUGUUCGGAAUUACCGGGCGUAAAGCGUACGUAGGCGGAUGCGCAAGUUGGGGGUGAAAUCCCGGGGCUUAACCUCGGAAUUGCCCUCAAAACUGCACGUCUUGAGACCGAGAGAGGUAAGGGGAAUUCCUAGUGUAGAGGUGAAAUUCGUAGAUAUUAGGAAGAACACCAGUAGCGAAGGCGCCUUACUGGCUCGGUACUGACGCUGAGGUACGAAAGCGUGGGGAGCAAACA